AUACGUAGGGGGCGAGCGUUGUCCGGAAUGAUUGGGCGUAAAGGGCGCGUAGGCGGCCCGGUAAGUCUGGAGUGAAAGUCCUGUUUUUAAGAUGGGAAUUGCUUUGGAUACUGUCGGGCUUGAGUGCAGGAGGGGUAAGUGGAAUUCCCAGUGUAGCGGUGAAAUGCGUAGAGAUUGGGAGGAACACCAGUGGCGAAGGCGACUUACUGGACUGUAACUGACGCUGAGGCGCGAAAGUGUGGGGAGCAAACAGGAUUAGAUACCCUGGUAGUCCACACUGUAAACGAUGAAUGCUAGGUGUAGGGGGUAUCGACCCCUUCUGUGCCGCAGUCAACACAAUAAGCAUUCCGCCUGGGGAGUACGGCCGCAAGGUUGAAACUCAAAGGAAUUGACGGGG
rnacentral:rRNA from 1 species